GACACCAAUGCGCAAGCGUCGGGAAACAUAAAGAAGAAAAUUUAAGACGCCAGAGCAAAGGAGUGAAGACGGACAUGAAAACCUGUAGUAACACAUCUUCUCUUCAAGGAUGUUGCUCUGUUUAUUAUAACAGCUUAUCUGUUGCUUUGCUAUUUUGGUGACAAUAAUCUAUCAUUGCAUUGUGAAAGAAGUCUUUAUAUACUGUGUUUGCUGUAGCUUCCAACAUCUACAUUGAAGGUCAUUGCUCCUCCUUAUGAGGUACCAGUUUUAGCUCAUGACUAUAGACAUGAAAUACAACAUACGUAUAUUGAGUUUUUCUUCCAGUUAUCAGAGAGAAAUUUUGGCAUGUAUUUUCUACUUUGUUGGAUUUUGUUGUUUGAUUGUUUCAUGAAUUCCCUUUAUGUCAAAAUUCAGUGUUGAGGCUUUUACUAUGUCUGUUUUGCACUGACAUCUCCCAUAGUCCUCCACAUAUUUGUGCUACUGUAGCUUAUGAAAAAUGAAAUAAUCAGGACAGAAGAAUUGAAGAAGAAAACCAACAUCCACUGAAAACACGUUGCUAAAGACAUGUAGUGUCAUUUGUAGUUUGGUUAAAAUCUCUUCAGUAAAUAUGUUCAUUCAAACAGUUGCUAUUAAAAUCCUUACAAACGUC